UUACGACCAUAUCACGUUGAAACACCGGUUCUCAUACGACCACCGAAGUUAAUCAACAUCGAGACUGGUCAGUACAUAGAUGGGUGACCGCAUGGCAACACCAGUGCUGUAAG